GGUCUUCGGAUGCUGACGAGUGGCGAACGGGUGAGUAAUACAUCGGAACGUGCCUAGUAGUGGGGGAUAACUACUCGAAAGAGUAGCUAAUACCGCAUGAGAUCUACGGAUGAAAGCAGGGGACCUUCGGGCCUUGUGCUACUAGAGCGGCUGAUGGCAGAUUAGGUAGUUGGUGGGGUAAAGGCUUACCAAGCCUGCGAUCUGUAGCUGGUCUGAGAGGACGACCAGCCGCACUGGGACUGAGACACGGCCCAGACUCCUACGGGAGGCAGCAGUGGGGAAUUUUGGACAAUGGGCGAAAGCCUGAUCCAGCAAUGCCGCGUGCAGGAUGAAGGCCCUCGGGUUGUAAACUGCUUUUAUACGGAACGAAAAGCCUGGGGCUAAUAUCCCCGGGUCAUGACGGUACCGUAAGAAUAAGCACCGGCUAACUACGUGCCAGCAGCCGCGGUAAUACGUAGGGUGCAAGCGUUAAUCGGAAUUACUGGGCGUAAAGCGUGCGCAGGCGGUUUUGUAAGACAGUGGUGAAAUCCCCGGGCUCAACCUGGGAACUGCCAUUGUGACUGCAAGGCUAGAGUGCGGCAGAGGGGGAUGGAAUUCCGCGUGUAGCAGUGAAAUGCGUAGAUAUGCGGAGGAACACCGAUGGCGAAGGCAAUCCCCUGGGCCUGCACUGACGCUCAUGCACGA
rnacentral:rRNA from 1 species